rnacentral:rRNA from 1 species
UGGGGAAUCUUCCGCAAUGGACGAAAGUCUGACGGAGCAACACCGCGUGAGUGAAGAAGGUUUUCGGAUCGUAAAACUCUGUCUUUUGGGGGCGAACGUGAGUAUGGUGAACAAUCAUAGUCAGUGACGGUACCAAAGGAGGAAGCCACGGCUAACUACGUGCCAGCAGCCGCGGUAAUACGUAGGUGGCAAGCGUUGUCCGGAAUUAUUGGGCGUAAAGAGCGCGUAGGCGGGAUAGUCAGUCUGUUGUAAAAGUGCGGGGCUCAACCCCGUGAUCGCAAUGGAAACAGCUAUUCUUGAGUGCAGGAGAGGAAAGUGGAAUUCCCAGUGUAGCGGUGAAAUGCGUAGAUAUUGGGAGGAACACCAGUGGCGAAGGCGACUUUCUGGACUGUGUCUGACGCUGAGGCGCGAAAGCCAGGGGAGCGAACGGGAUUAGAUACCCCGGUAGUCCUGGCCGUAAACGAUGGGUACUAGGUGUGGGAGGUAUCGACCCCUUGCCGUGCCGGAGUUAACGCAAUAAGUACCCCGCUGGGGAGUCGGUCGCAAGACUGAAACUUAAAGGAAUUGACGGGGUCAUAGCUGUUCCUG